rnacentral:misc_RNA from 1 species
GUAGGUGAACCUGCGGAAGGAUCAUUAACACGUUAUCACACGUUAAAUCAACCACGCGAACUUAUACAGUUUGGGGUUAACAGAGGGACUGAUGACUUUUUCUUCUCCUCGAAAGAGGGGGGAAAAAAGUGAACUUCCUUCUUUCCCAUCAACUGUUGUGUUUUGUCAUUUUUUGACAAACCUUAAUCACCCCUCUUUUUUAUAAUCUUUUUCUUUGGGGGUGAUGCAAAUCAUCCACAAAAAAAAGUUA